rnacentral:rRNA from 1 species
CAGUCGCCGCGGGAAUACGUAGGGUGCAAGCGUUAAUCGGAAUUACUGGGCGUAAAGCGUGCGCAGGCGGUUCUAUAAGACAGAUGUGAAAUCCCCGGGCUCAACCUGGGAACUGCAUUUGUGACUGUAGAGCUGGAGUGCGGCAGAGGGGGAUGGAAUUCCGCGUGUAGCAGUGAAAUGCGUAGAUAUGCGGAGGAACACCGAUGGCGAAGGCAAUCCCCUGGGCCUGCACUGACGCUCAUGCACGAAAGCGUGGGGAGCAAACAGGAUUAGAUACCCGAGUAGUCCCUGUCUCUUAUAC